rnacentral:lncRNA from 1 species
UCUUCUCUUCUUUCUUACAUGGAAGGUGGUUUGGAUCAAAUCUAAAAGGAAUAAGUUUGGAUUUCGAAUUCUAUGAGAUAGAGUUUUAGAAAUCCAAAACUCUUUCAAUUUUGCACCGAAUUUAUCCAAAUUUUUUUUGAAAUUUUCAUGGCUUUUAGGGUAUACAUUGUGCAUCCUUUUCUGGUGAUCUAUAUAUGAAAAUAUGAAGGAGGUGCUCAAGAGUUGGGCGUCCCUUAACUUGCCAUGUUUGGAUAAGCCUUGACUAGGUGUUUGACCUAGAC